GUGAACAGCCCGGUCCUGACGCCGUGGAUGUUCUUGAUGGCGUAGCUGAUCUCCCUCCGCAGGUCCUUCUCGUCAAACUCCAUCUUGACCAGCUCGAAAGGGAAGCGCUCGUGGAAGAUGCGGUUGAUGCGGGCGCCUCCGGACAGCUCCAGAGUGUCCACCUGAUCGCCAGAGCCCUCAAUGCGCUUCUCAAAGUCCACCCCGAACUGCUGCACCAUCUGCAGCAAAGCUUUGGUUUUCCGCGUGGGGUCAUCAGGGCGGAAGUUCUUAUACUCCUCCACCUCCUUCUCCAGGGAGAGCAGCUGGCUCUGCAGCUUGCU
rnacentral:lncRNA from 1 species